rnacentral:rRNA from 1 species
CGGCAGGCCUAACACAUGGUAGUCGAGCGGAUGACGGGAGCUUGCUCCUUGAUUCAGCGGCGGACGGGUGAGUAAUGCCUAGGAAUCUGCCUGGUAGCCGGGGACAAUUUUUCGGGAGGAACGCUACGAACGCAUAAAUCCUACGGGCUAAAGCAGGGGACCUUCGGGCCUUGCGCUAUCAGAUGAGCCUAGGAAAAAUUAGCUAGUUGUUGAGGUAAUGGCUCACCAAGGCGACGAUCCGUAAGUGGUCUGAGAGGAUGAUCAGUCACACUGGACCUGAGACACGGUCCAGACUCGAGCGGGAGGCAGCAGUGGCCAAUAUUGGACAAUGGGCGAAAGCCUGAUCCAGCCAUGCCGCGUGUGUGAAGAAGGUAAUUUUAUUGUAAAGCACUUUAAGUUGGGAGGAAGGGCAGUAAGUUAAUACCUUGCUGUUUUGACGUUACCGACAAAAUAAGCUUCGGCUAACUCUGUGCCAGCAGCCGCAGUAAUACAGAGGGUGCAAGCGUUAAUCGGAAUUACUGGGCGUAAAGCGCGCGUAGGUGGUUCGUUAAGUUGGAUGUGAAAGCCCGGGGCUCAACCUGGGAACUGCAUCCAUAACUGGCAACUUUGAGUACAAUAGAGGGUAUUGGAAUUAAAUGUGUAGCGGUGAAAUGCGUAGAUAUAGGAAGGAACACCAGUGACGAAGGCGACCACCUGGACUGAUACUGACACUGAGGUGCGAAACCGUGGGGAGCAAACAGGAUUAGAUACCCUGAUAGUCCACGCCGUAAACGAUGUCAACUAGCCGUUGGAAUCCUUUAGAUUUUAGUGGCGAACCCAACGCAUUAAGUUGACCGCCUGGCCAGUACGGCCGCAAGGUUAAAACUCAAAUGAAUUGACGGGGGCCCGCACAAGCGGUGGAGCAUGUCAU